UGCAAAAGUCAAAUUUCUGUGCCUGUUGUC
rnacentral:piRNA from 1 species